rnacentral:lncRNA from 1 species
CCCUGGGCUCCGCGCCGGAUCUGGAAUGGGGGUGCGGGUGGGAGCAAGCGAGUAAGCGUGUCCUCCUUCCACCUCCCUCUGGGUCGUCCGCACUAGGCUGGGGCGGCAGCGCCGGCGCGAUUCCUUCACGAGCGGGCGCGGACCCGGAGGGUCAGGGCCCGGGGAGGGGGCGCCUGCGGGCUCCUCGCACCGAGCCUCAGCCAAUCAGCGCUCCGGAAGGACGGUUACGUAGAUCUCCCCGCCCCACGUGCCGCUUUUCUCCGAGAAGCCACGCCCAACCGCCGCCUGGCCGCCUUGCUCUGACGGCUUCCACGGGGCCCUAGAAUCCGGUAGUUUCCCGCGGCAAGUGGACGAGGGGUGGGGCCGUGAGGCGGUGGCGAGAAUACCUUCACUGUUCUGAAGGCUGAAAGAUUGCAGAUUGGGCAGCUGCAUCUGACGAAGCCCUGGUGCUGCUUCAGCUCAUGGCCGAAAGCAGAAGGGAUUGCAUGGCCAGAGAGGAGACUAAGAGAAAGCCAAACUUACUGUAACAACUUGCGCUCAAGCUCCAAGUACAGUAACGUUUUCCCGGCCCAUUUGGCCCAGCCAGGAUACUUGACCAGAGACCACAGGAUAGAAGCUGCUUCUUGUUUCAAGUCCUGUCAGAGUCCAGAAUACUGCCUGGCACACAGCAGGCAGUCUAUGAAACAACUUGAGUAAAACAAGCAACGUGGAAGAAAGGAGCUAUGCAAUUGGCUUUUGAGGACCUUCUUCAAUGAAAAAGUUUUUUUAAGGAGAAGAAGGAGGAAGCAGAGGAAGAGGAGGAGAAGGAGGAGGAAGAAGCUACAAAACACCUUGUUUUUUUAAAAUUUUCUUAUGCCAAAGAUUUAAAACAUGCAAAGAUUUCACCAAACUAUGAGAAACAAGCCUCCCACUGCCAAGUUUUAGGAUAAAACUCUGAGUGGUUUUCAAUUGUCUGCUGUAAUAAAUUAUUAAUUUCUCCA